rnacentral:rRNA from 1 species
CCCUUAGAUGUUCUGGGCCGCACGCGUGCUACACUGAGUGGAUCAGCGGGUCAGGUUGCGCGAAAGCGUUUCCUAAUCUUUAAAUCCGCUCGUGAUGGGGAUUGACGGUUGCAAUUUUCUGUCAUGAACGAGGGAUACCUUGUAAGCGCGGGUCAUCAUCCCGCGCUGAAUACGUCCCUGCCCUUUGUACACACCGCCCGUCGCUCCUACCGAUUGAGUGGUCCGGUGAGGCUUUGGGAUCUGAGCGGAAAGAGCGUUUCGCUGUUUCUGCUCGGAAAACUCAGUCGAACCUUAUCAUUUAGAGGAAGGAGAAGUCGUAACA